UAAUACGUAGGAUCCGAGCGUUGUCCGGAAUUACUGGGUGUAAAGGGCGUGUAGGUGGGUCUUUAAGUCAAUGGUGAAAUCUUGCGGCUCAACCGCAAAACUGCCGUCGAUACUGGAGACCUUGAGUGCGGAAGAGGGAAAUGGAAUUCAUGGUGUAGCGGUGAAAUGUGUAGAUAUCAUGAAGAACACCAGUUGCGAAGGCGGUUUCCUGGUCCGCUACUGACACUGAGGCGCGAAAGCGUGGGGAGCAAACAGGAUUAGAUACCCUGGUAGUCCACGCCCUAAACGAUGGGUACUCGGUGCUGGGCCGCAAGGUUCAGUGCCAAAGCUAACGCAUUAAGUACCCCACCUGGGGAGUACGAUCGCAAGGUUGAAACUCAAAGGAAUUGACGGGGGCCCGCACAAGCAGUGGAGCAUGUGGUUCAAUUCGAUGCAACGCGAAGAACCUCACCUGGGUUUGAAAGGCCGGUGACCACCGAUGAAAGUCGGUCUCCCCGCAA
rnacentral:rRNA from 1 species